rnacentral:rRNA from 1 species
UGAGCAACCUGCCUCUCAGAGGGGAUAACGUUUGGAAACGAACGCUAAUACCGCAUGAAAUAUUGGUAUCGCAUGGUGCUGAUAUCAAAGGAGCAAUCCGCUGAGAGAUGGGCUCGCGUCCGAUUAGAUAGUUGGCGGGGCAACGGCCCACCAAGUCGACGAUCGGUAGCCGGACUGAGAGGUUGAACGGCCACAUUGGGACUGAGACACGGCCCAGACUCCUACGGGAGGCAGCAG